ACGCGGCGGCAGGCUAAACAUGCGAUUUAAGCGCGAAAACACUUCGGUGCGAGGUAAGUAGGCGGACGGGUGAGUACGCGUAGGAAUCUACCUAGUAGUGGGGGACAACUCGGGGAAACUCGAGCUAAUACCGCAUACGCCCUACGGGGGAAAGCGGGGGACCUUCGGGCCUCGUGCUAUUAGAUGAGCCUGCGUUGGAUUAGCUAGUUGGUGGGGUAAAGGCCUACCAAGGCGACGAUCCAUAGCUGGUCUGAGAGGAUGAUCAGCCACACCGGGACUGAGACACGGACCGGACUCCUACGGGAGGCAGCAGUGGGGAAUAUUGCGCAAUGGGCGAAAGCCUGACGCAGCCAUGCCGCGUGUGUGAAGAAAGACCUUCGGGUAGUAAGCAACUU
rnacentral:rRNA from 1 species